rnacentral:tRNA from 1 species
GAGGGUAGAGCUCAGAGGAAGAGCACGUGCUUAGCACGCACAAGGUCCUGGGUUCAAUUCCCAGUUCCUUUC